rnacentral:rRNA from 1 species
UGUGUAGGCGGCUAGGUAAGCGUUCUGUGAAAUCCCUCGGCUUAACCGAGGAAUUGCUCGGCGAACUGCCUGGCUUGAGGCGCGUAGGGGCCAAUAGAACUCUGGGUGGAGCGGUGAAAUGCGUAGAUAUCCAGGGGAAUGCCAGUGGCGAAGGCGAUUGGCUGGGCGCGUCCUGACGCUGAUGCACGAAAGCGUGGGGAGCGAACAGGAUUAGAUACCCUGGUAGUCC